AGGUGAAGGAGGAAGAGCGAGAGUGGAGGCCAAGCCGGCUCUAGGCGGCUGAAUCCGGGCCGUUGNUACCCCUUUCUUUCUUCUGCACCACUCUAAGGGGUCAGGCGGGUCUGGUGCCAGAAGGAAAAAAACAUGGCAACAGUUCUAGCGAAGUCCGUGAGCAACGGCUUGAUUUCCCCAGUACUGGAGACUCGGUCUUCAUAAGAAAGAUUCAGCACAAGGUUGUCAGCUGUGAGAUAGAUUCGGUUCUGUGAUGUGGCGAUCUACAGGAUACGGAAUAGACGCAUUAACAGAGGCUUCAAGUCUUUGAUUCAAUGGCCACUCAGUGGAAGACACAGUAACAGAACAGGCUCCUGCUCUAGUACAAAGACCCGAUGCAAGAAGCCUUGGUGUCAUAGCUCUGUAACAGCCAUAAACAAAACCUGGGGAGCACUGUGGGGUCGGUCACUCUGCAGGAGGAAGGGUGCCCAAGGACAUUGUUUAAGUAGAAACUCAAGCCAGUUCUAAUGCCACUGUGUGACUGUGUAGCUGAAUACUUUCAACCUCAANCAGCAGCCCUUGGAUGGUGAAGCCUUCCACUCACCGUCUUAGAGAUGUUCUGGGCGGCCCGGAUCUUUCGGAGCUUGAUAUAGCCAGGAUUCUUGCUCAGUGCUUCUCCAAGGUGAGCAGA
rnacentral:lncRNA from 1 species